rnacentral:other from 1 species
CAUCUCCUGCGGUGUUCGAGUAGGGACUGGGAAAAUCCUUGACCCUAGAGUAACGCCCCGGGGGCAAAGUCGUCGGUGUUGUGUGCAUGUCCGCCUCUGGCGGAAAGCCUGAUACGCCGGCCGGUGUCCCCACCUGGACCCAAUGGUUCAAGGGCGAAGGCCCCUUACGGCACAGGCGGGAGAUGC